rnacentral:rRNA from 1 species
UACGUAGGCAGCAAACGUUGUUCGGAAUUACUGGGCGUAAAGAGUGUGUAGGCGGUUCUGUAAGUUUGGUGUGAAAUCUCCCGCUUAACUGGGAGGGUGCGCCGAAAACUGCAAGGCUUGAGUGCUGGAGAGGAUAGCGGAAUUCCUGGUGUAGCGGUGAAAUGCGUAGAUAUCAGGAGGAACACCGGCGGUGUAGACGGCUAUCUGGACAGCAACUGACGCUGAGACACGAAAGCGUGGGGAGCAAACAGG